ensembl:lncRNA
GGUGAGAUAGAGAGCAGGGUGAGAGAGAGAGCAGGGUGAGAGAGAGAGAGAGCAGGGUGAGAGAGAGACAGCAGGGUGAGAGAGAGAGAGCAGGGUGAGAGAGAGAGCAGGGUGAGAGAGAGAGCAGGCAGGGUGAGAGAGAGAGAGAGCAGGGUGAGAGAGAGAGGUCUGGUCUAUUUCCAGUCAAACGUGCCCAGGUCCUUCCCGAGCCCUGGUUGUGUUACCCUCGUGACGUGGUUGGUUCCCGCACCAUUACCCCACCACCUGACUGCAUCUCGGCGUGUCGUGGUGUGACAGCCCUGCCGGUCCACCCCUCUCACCACGACCCAGAGCCC